rnacentral:rRNA from 1 species
UACGUAGGGGUGCAAGCGUUGUUCGGAUUCAUUGGGCGUAAAGGGUGCGUAGGCGGCGCGGUAAGUCGGGUGUGAAAUCUCGGAGCUUAACUCCGAAACUGCAUUCGAUACUGCCGUGCUUGAGGACUGGAGAGGAGACUGGGAAUUUACGGUGUAGCGGUGAAAUGCGUAGAUAUCGUAAGGAAGACCAGUGGCGAAGGCGGGUCGCUGGACAGUUCCUGACGCUGAGGC